AGAGGGAGGAAGGACAGCAGACCAGACAGUCACAGCAGCCCUGACAAAAGCGUUCCUGGAACUCAAGCUCUUCUCCACAGAGGAGGACAGAGCAGACAGCAGAGACCAUGGAGUCUCCCUGGGCCCCUCCCUACAGAUGGUGCAUCCCCUGGCAGAGGCUCCUGCUCACAGCCUCACUUCUAACCUUCUGGAACCCGCCCACCACUGCCAAGCUCACUAUUGAAUCCACGCCGUUCAAUGUCGCAGAGGGGAAGGAGGUGCUUCUACUUGUCCACAAUCUGCCCCAGCAUCUUUUUGGCUACGUCUGGUACAAAGGGGAAAGAGUGGAUGCCAACCAUCAAAUUAUAGGAUAUGUAAUAGGAACUCAACAAGCUACCCCAGGGCCCGCAUACAGUGGUCGAGAGACAGUAUACCCCAAUGCAUCCCUGCUGAUCCAGAACAUCAUCCAGAAUGACACAGGAUUCUAUACCCUACACAUCAUAAAGUCAGAUCUUGUGAAUGAAGAAGCAACUGGCCAGUUCCGGGUAUACCCGGAGCUGCCCAAGCCCUCCAUCUCCAGCAACAACUCCAAACCCGUGGAGGACAAGGAUGCUGUGGCCUUCACCUGUGAACCUGAGACUCAGGACACAACCUACCUGUGGUGGGUAAACAAUCAGAGCCUCCCGGUCAGUCCCAGGCUGCAGCUGUCCAAUGGCAACAGGACCCUCACUCUAUUCAAUGUCACAAGAAAUGACACAGCAAGCUACAAAUGUGAAACCCAGAACCCAGUGAGUGCCGGGCACAGUGAUUCAGUCAUCCUGAAUGUCCUCUGUGAGUAUAUCUGCUCCUCUCUGGCCCAGGCUGCCAGCCCAAAUCCACAGGGCCAGAGGCAGGAUUUCUCAGUCCCUCUCAGGUUCAAGUACACAGACCCUCACCCCUGGACAUCCAGACUGUCUGUGACUUUCUGCCCCAGAAAAACCUGGGCAGACCAAGUCUUGACCAAGAAUAGGAGGGGAGGGGCUGCUCCUGUCCUGGGAGGCUCAGGGUCCACACCCUAUGAUGGGAGAAACAGGUGAAUAUCUCAGACUCAGGCUCAGUAGAUACAAGAGGGGUUUGGUUGAGACUUUAGGAUUGUGAUUCAGCUUAGAGGGACACUGUGGUCCUUCCAUAGACCAGCAACUUCCACUUCCCUCUGACAAUAUCACCUGUGGCUUUAUUUUGUUUGCUCCAGAUGGCCCGGAUGCCCCCACCAUUUCCCCUCUAAACACAUCUUACAGAUCAGGGGAAAAUCUGAACCUCUCCUGCCACGCAGCCUCUAACCCACCUGCACAGUACUCUUGGUUUGUCAAUGGGACUUUCCAGCAAUCCACCCAAGAGCUCUUUAUCCCCAACAUCACUGUGAAUAAUAGCGGAUCCUAUACGUGCCAAGCCCAUAACUCAGACACUGGCCUC
rnacentral:sRNA from 1 species